UGGGGAAUAUUGCGCAAUGGGGGAAACCCUGACGCAGCGACGCCGCGUGUGGGAUGAAGGUCUUCGGAUUGUAAACCACUGUCGCGAGGGACGAAGCUCUGACGGUACCUCGAAAGGAAGCACCGGCUAACUCUGUGCCAGCAGCCGCGGUAAUACAGAGGGUGCGAGCGUUAAUCGGAAUUACUGGGCGUAAAGCGCACGUAGGUGGCGACGUAAGUCGGGUGUGAAAGCCCCGGGCUCAACCUGGGAACCGCAUUCGAGACUGCGUUGCUGGAGUACGGAAGAGGAGGGCGGAAUUCCCGGUGUAGCGGUGAAAUGCGUAGAUAUCGGGAGGAACAUCAGUGGCGAAGGCGGCCCUCUGGUCCAGUACUGACACUCAAGUGCGAAAGCGUGGGGAGCAAACAGGAUUAGAUACCCUCGUAGUCCCUGAGCGGGCUGGCAAGGCGCAU
rnacentral:rRNA from 1 species